rnacentral:tRNA from 1 species
GAGGGUAUAGCUUAGUGGCAAGGUGCAUGGCUAGUAUGCACGAGGUCCUGGGUUCAAUUCCCUAUACCUCUG